UACAGAGGUCUCAAGCGUUGUUCGGAUUCAUUGGGCGUAAAGGGUGCGUAGGCGGCGCGGUAAGUCGGGUGUGAAAUCUCGGAGCUUAACUCCGAAACUGCAUUCGAUACUGCCGUGCUUGAGGACUGGGGAGGAGACUGGAAUUUACGGUGUAGCGGUGAAAUGCGUAGAUAUCGUAAGGAAGACCAGUGGCGAAGGCGGGUCUCUGGACAGUUCCUGACGCUGAGGCACGAAGGUCAGGGGAGCAAACGGG
rnacentral:rRNA from 1 species